rnacentral:rRNA from 1 species
GAUGAACGCUGGCGGCGUGCCUAAUACAUGCAAGUCGAGCGAACGGACGAGAAGCUUGCUUCUCUGAUGUUAGCGGCGGACGGGUGAGUAACACGUGGAUAACCUACUUAUAAGACUGGGAUAACUUCGGGAAACCGGAGCUAAUACCGGAUAAUAUUUUGAACCGCAUGGUUCAAAAGUGAAAGACGGUCUUGCUGUCACUUAUAGAUGGAUCCGCGCUGCAUUAGCUAGUUGGUAAGGUAACGGCUUACCAAGGCAACGAUGCAUAGCCGACCUGAGAGGGUGAUCGGCCACACUGGAACUGAGACACGGUCCAGACUCCUACGGGAGGCAGCAGUAGGGAAUCUUCCGCAAUGGGCGAAAGCCUGACGGAGCAACGCCGCGUGAGUGAUGAAGGUCUUCGGAUCGUAAAACUCUGUUAUUAGGGAAGAACAUAUGUGUAAGUAACUGUGCACAUCUUGACGGUACCUAAUCAGAAAGCCACGGCUAACUACGUGCCAGCAGCCGCGGUAAUACGUAGGUGGCAAGCGUUAUCCGGAAUUAUUGGGCGUAAAGCGCGCGUAGGCGGUUUUUUAGUCUGAUGUGAAAGCCCACGGCUCAACCGUGGAGGGUCAUUGGAAACUGGAAAACUUGAGUGCAGAAGAGGAAAGUGGAAUUCCAUGUGUAGCGGUGAAAUGCGCAGAGAUAUGGAGGAACACCAGUGGCGAAGGCGACUUUCUGGUCUGUAACUGACGCUGAUGUGCGAAAGCGUGGGGAUCAAACAGGAUUAGAUACCCUGGUAGUCCACGCCGUAAACGAUGAGUGCUAAGUGUUAGGGGGUUUCCGCCCCUUAGUGCUGCAGCUAACGCAUUAAGCACUCCGCCUGGGGAGUACGACCGCAAGGUUGAAACUCAAAGGAAUUGACGGGGACCCGCACAAGCGGUGGAGCAUGUGGUUUAAUUCGAAGCAACGCGAAGAACCUUACCAAAUCUUGACAUCCUUUGACAACUCUAGAGAUAGAGCUUUCCCCUUCGGGGGACAAAGUGACAGGUGGUGCAUGGUUGUCGUCAGCUCGUGUCGUGAGAUGUUGGGUUAAGUCCCGCAACGAGCGCAACCCUUAAGCUUAGUUGCCAUCAUUAAGUUGGGCACUCUAAGUUGACUGCCGGUGACAAACCGGAGGAAGGUGGGGAUGACGUCAAAUCAUCAUGCCCCUUAUGAUUUGGGCUACACACGUGCUACAAUGGACAAUACAAAGGGCAGCGAAACCGCGAGGUCAAGCAAAUCCCAUAAAGUUGUUCUCAGUUCGGAUUGUAGUCUGCAACUCGACUACAUGAAGCUGGAAUCGCUAGUAAUCGUAGAUCAGCAUGCUACGGUGAAUACGUUCCCGGGUCU